rnacentral:rRNA from 1 species
CGGGUGAGUAACACGUAGACAACCUGCCGACAGGAUGGGGACAACAUUCCGAAAGGAAUGCUAAUACCGAAUGAAGUCGAGGGAAGGCAUCUUCCUUCGAUGAAAGAUGGCCUCUUUUUAUGCUAUCACCUGUCGAUGGGUCUGCGUCUGAUUAGCUGGUUGGUGAGGUAACGGCUCACCAAGGCGACGAUCAGUAGCCGGUCUGAGAGGAUGAACGGCCACAUUGGGACUGAGACACGGCCCAGACUCC